GUGAGCAAUUUAGCUGCCGUCAGUCAGAGGCUGACGGGCAGAGAAGUAGAUUUUGCUGCGAUUCUCGAUAUAUUUCCGGAGGGAGUUUGAUCUGGGCUGAGAUCCAGGUCGAGUUAUGGUUGAUUUGCCCGCCGCUAAUGGACUCUCGCUGCACGGUUUUAGCGUUUAUGCUGCUUUACUCCACUGCCGUCCUCGCAGUCUCAUCGGAGCGAUAUGACCCGCUCCACACAUCACCGGUAUGGCUGCCUACGCCCGGCUGCUUUUCAAGCGGAGCUUGAUCGAGUACGACGCCAGAUCUUCCGCUGAUGUUUUCAUCUGGGAUUCUCUGACAAGACGAGCCCGGAGGAUCUGUAAUGACCACAGGAAUCGGCUCUCCAGGAGGAUUACCCAAGAAAACACACACGGAUGGGACAUUACUGCUGCACAUCACUGAAACGGGUUCACAUGCUAAAUCCAAAGGCUUGAGACGAUGGAUCUCUCCCUGUCUCAAGGUGUCGUGUAAAAACGGAGCUGCUGGACCCCUAGAUGUCUGUCCUGCUUGUUAAAUAAACCAGCAGCCAGCGGCCUUCUAUGCGUUUCCUGUCUCGGCUGAUAUUACCUUUUCAUGAGCAAAAACAUGGAUUGGUGCCCUGCGAUGGGCUGGCCCCCCAUCCUGGGUUGUUCCCUGCCUCGUGCCCAUUGCUUCCGGGAUAGGCUCCGGACCCCCCGCGACCCAGUAGGAUAAGCGGUUUGGACGAUGGAUGGAUGGAAAACAUGGACUGUCUGGAGGUCCCUGAGGACCAACUUUGAAAACACUGGUUUAGCAGGACUCUUGGUAGAUUCCUUGCCAGUCUACAGCCGAUUCAGCUCUCCUGCCAGCUGAUCCCUCCUUGCCCGCACUGCUGCCGGCGUAGACUCCUUUGUUGGAAUCGGCACAUGCAGCUCAGCAUCACGCCUUCCGAAGUCCUCCAGUGUGUCUUCGAUUUAUACACAACAGACAUCCAUCACACGUGGCCGUGUUACGCAGCAAACAACAUGCCGGAAAGAAUGGCACGACCUUCUGAGGGCUGCGUUAUAAUGCUCCACCUGACUAUCCGAGACGCAUUUUCAGCAAUACAAAUGGCCUUUCAAUUGCAGUACGUGCUUAAUUCCGAUAAUGAACUUGAAAGAGGUUUUUGAUGCUAGUUUUAUUGAACAGUAUGAUUACAUGAAAGGACCAGAUGUACUCUACAAUGAAGCGUAU